GUGCCAGCCGCCGCGGUAAUACGUAGGGUGCAAGCGUUAAUCGGAAUUACUGGGCGUAAAGCGUGCGCAGGCGGUUUUGUAAGUCUGUCGUGAAAGCCCCGGGCUUAACCUGGGAAUUGCGAUGGAGACUGCAAGGCUUGAAUCUGGCAGAGGGGGGUAGAAUUCCACGUGUAGCAGUGAAAUGCGUAGAGAUGUGGAGGAACACCGAUGGCGAAGGCAGCCCCCUGGGUCAAGAUUGACGCUCAUGCACGAAAGCGUGGGGAGCAAACAGGAUUAGAU
rnacentral:rRNA from 1 species